GACAGAGGGUGCAAACGUUGCUCGGAAUCACUGGGCGUAAAGGGCGUGUAGGCGGGAAGGAAAGUCAGAUGUGAAAUCCCCAGGCUCAACCUGGGAACUGCAUUUGAAACUCCCUUUCUUGAGUACCGGAGAGGAAAGUGGAAUUCCUGGUGUAGAGGUGAAAUUCGUAGAUAUGACAUAGAACACCAAUUGCGAAGGCAGCUCGCUACACGAAGAUUGACUCUGAGGCACGAAAGCGUGGGGAUCAAACAGG
rnacentral:rRNA from 1 species